rnacentral:misc_RNA from 1 species
GAUACAAGAUUCAGAUUGUUUUUUCAUCACUGAUAUGCAUUCUGCGAGACUGCGACCAUCUUUUUCUACAUAAGCUAUUAAUCUUGAUUAACCAUCCUUAAUAUUUUAUGUUUUCAAUUGGAGAGGUGGUCCAUGAACUGUUUUAGAAGCCCCAAUAACAAUGAUGAAAAAACAAUCUGAAUCUUGUAUCAUCUGUAAAAUCCUACUGCUCAGGGUGAAAUAAUUCUAUUAAAUUAUGAGAA